GGGAUGAAUUUAGCCCUAUAGACACAAAUUGAGUUGUUCUAAGAAACUGUUAACCUUUACUUACCAUGGAACUUCAAAACCAAAGAUGAGCUCUUGUAGUACUUAUCCAACUCCAUUUUUGUAGUAGGCAUAGGCAGCAAUGACUAUAUCAACAACUAUCUCCUACCAGAAGAGUACAACAGUAGUCAUCUAUACACCCCCAGAACAAUUUGCCAACAUUCUCUUAAAAGAACUCAAACAAUAUUUGUAGACAUUUAUAAUCUGGGAGCAAGGAAAUUUUUGGUAUUCAACAUUGCCAAACUUGGGUGUACACCAGGCAUAAUAAUUAGAGAUAAUAUUACAACUGGAUGUGCAGA